UGUUGCCUUCACCCUCCACAUCUUUUCCAGCUCUUCCCUCAGUCUUUGUUAUUUUUCGAGCUUCUCGUGUUCCUUGUUCCUGAUGUUGUUAUCGCUGGGGAUCACCACAUCUCUCACUACAGCUCUCUUCUGCUUAUUCAUCACUACUUUGUCCGGUGGAGAAAUGGUCUAGAGAGAGAGAUUGUCCAAGUGGGGACGUGGCCUGCCCAGAUGGAGAGACUGCCCAGAUGGCUAGAAGCAGUGAGAAAGUGUUGACAUGCACCAACCCGGCUGAAACAUGACUGAGAGAAAAAAAAAGACGCGGACAUCCUGACUUAGGCCCCUCCUCCUACAUCAGGCUCCGCCUCUGGGCUCAUGCCUCUCCUCCUGAUGUCCACGCUGGGACUGGCUAGAGAAAGCUGGUAACCAGCGGGUCACGAAGUAGAUGCCCUUUCACUGGUUUCUCUUGGCCUCAGGGUGCCUCCUUUUCAGGCUGUAGACUUCCAUGCCAUUUCUUCUGAAAAAAAUCAAUAAAAUAAAAUAAAAUCAAA